rnacentral:rRNA from 1 species
GACGAACGCUGGCGGCGUGCUUAACACAUGCAAGUCGAACGCUGAAGCCCUUCGGGGUGGAUGAGUGGCGAACGGGUGAGUAACACGUGGGUAAUCUACCCUGCACUCUGGGAUAAGCCUUGGAAACGGGGUCUAAUACCGGAUAGGACACAUCGCCGCAUGGUGUGUGUGUGGAAAGUUCCGGCGGUGCAGGUUGAGCCCGCGGCCACUCAGCUUGUUGGUGGGGUGAUGGCCUACCAAGGCGACGACGGGUAGCCGGCCUGAGAGGGUGACCGGCCACACUGGGACUGAGACACGGCCCAGACUCCUACGGGAGGCAGCAGUGGGGAAUCUUGCGCAAUGGGCGAAAGCCUGACGCAGCAACGCCGCGUGGGGGAUGACGGCCUUCGGGUUGUAAACCUCUUUCGACCGGGACGAAGGAUUCGUUUGACGGUACCGGUAGAAGAAGCACCGGCUAACUACGUGCCAGCAGCCGCCGUAACAC